rnacentral:misc_RNA from 1 species
AAGUCGUAACAAGGUUUCCGUAGGUGAACCUGCGGAAGGAUCAUCAAUAGUUCCAAAAAUUAUCAUACCUUCUUGUGAACUGUUUUGUUGUUAGGAUGUUUAUAUGGUAUUUAUGUUAUCUGUCUCGAUGGAUAAUGUGAUGCCAUGUAAAUGUCUAUAUGUCAUCAUUACAAACUCUUUAAAAUUUAAAAGUCUAAUGCAGUUAAGCAUGUUGUGGUAUUUUGAAUCGUUGUUAGUAAUAACGGUGAUUUAUACGCAAUUUGUCAUUAUAAACUAAUGUCAAUACAACUUGCAGCGAUGGAUCUCUAGGCUCUG